rnacentral:rRNA from 1 species
CCUACGGGAGGCAGCAGUGAGGAAUAUUGGUCAAUGGGCUUACGCCUGAACCAGCCAAGUCGCGUGAGGGAAGACUGCCCUAUGGGUUGUAAACCUCUUUUGUCAGGGAGCAAUUGGCGCUACGUGUAGCGUUAUCGAGAGUACCUGAAGAAAAAGCAUCGGCUAACUCCGUGCCAGCAGCCGCGGUAAUACGGAGGAUGCGAGCGUUAUCCGGAUUUAUUGGGUUUAAAGGGUGCGUAGGCGGAAUGCCAAGUCAGCGGUAAAAUCGCGGGGCUCAACCUCGCUCCGCCGUUGAAACUGGCGUGCUUGAGUGGGCGAGAAGUAGGCGGAAUGCGUGGUGUAGCGGUGAAAUGCAUAGAGAUCACGCAGAACUCCGAUUGCGAAGGCAGCAUACCGGCGCACAACUGACGCUGAAGCACGAAAGCGUGGGUAUCGAACAGGAUUAGAUACCCCUGUAGUC